UACUUGAUGAAUAAGCCACGGCUAUUCGUGCCAGCAGCGCGUAUACGGGAGUGGCAAGCGUUAUCGGAAUUAUUGGGCGUAAAGCGUCGCAGGCGGCCCAGAAAGUCUGCUGUUAAAACGUGGAGCUUAACUCCAUCAUGGCAGUGGAAACUGUUGGGCUUGAGUGUGGUAGGGGCAGAGGGAAUUCCCGGUGUAGCGGUGAAAUGCGUAGAUAUCGGGAAGAACACCAGUGGCGAAGGCGCUCUGCUGGGCCAUAACUGACGCUCAUGGACGAAAGCCAGGGGAGCGAAAGGGAUUAGAUACCCCUGUAGUCCUGGCCGUAAACGAUGAACACUAGGUGUCGGGGGAAUCGACCCCCUCGGUGUCGUAGCCAACGCGUUAAGUGUUCCGCCUGGGGAGUACGCACGCAAAUGUGAAACUCAAAGGAAUUGACGGGGGCCCGCACAAGCGGUGGAGUAUGUGGUUUAAUUCGAUGCAACGCGAAGAACCUUACCAGGGUUUGACAUCCUGCGAACCUCUUGGAAACGAGAGGGUGCCUUCGGGAACGCAGUGACAGGUGGUGCAUGGCUGUCGUCAGCUCGUGUCGUGAGAUGUUGGGUUAAGUCCCGCAACGAGCGCAACCCACGUCUUUAGUUGCCAGCAUUUAGUUGGGCACUCUAGAGAGACCGCCGGUGAUAGACCGGAGGAAGGUGUGGAUGACGUCAAGUCAUCAUGCCCCUUACAUCCUGGGCUACACACGUACUACAAUGCUACGGACAAAGGGCAGCAAGUUCGCGAGGACAAGCAAAUCCCAUAAACCGUGGCUCAGUUCAGAUCGUAGGCUGCAACUCGCCUACGUGAAGGAGGAAUCGCUAGUAAUCGCAGGUCAGCAUACUGCGGUGAAUACGUUCCCGGGCCUUGUACACACCGCCCGUCACACCAUGGAAGUUGGCCACGCCCGAAGCCGUUACUCCAACCCUUGUGGAGGAG
rnacentral:rRNA from 1 species